rnacentral:rRNA from 1 species
CCUACGGGUGGCAGCAGUGGGGAAUAUUGCACAAUGGGGGAAACCCUGAUGCAGCGACGCCGCGUGAGUGAAGAAGUAUUUCGGUAUGUAAAGCUCUAUCAGUAGGGAAGAAAAUGACGGUACCCGAUUAAGAAGCCCCGGCCAACUACGUGCCAGCAGCCGCGGUAAUACGUAGGGGGCAAGCGUUGUCCGGAUUUACCGGGUGGAAAGGGAGCGUAGAUGGCAGGACAAGUCAGGAGUGAAAUGCCGGGGCUUAACCCUGUAACUGCAUUGGAAACUGUGCAGCUAGAGUGCAGGAGAGGUUAGUGGAAUUCCUAGUGUAGCGGUGAAAUGCGUAGAUAUUAGGAGGAACACCAGUGGCGAAGGCGGCUUACUGGGCUGUAACUGACGUUGAGGCUCGAAAGCGUGGGGAGCAAACAGGAUUAGAUACCCUGGUAGUC